GAUGAACGCUGGCGGCGUGCCUAAUACAUGCAAGUCGAGCGAACAGACGAGGAGCUUGCUCCUCUGACGUUAGCGGCGGACGGGUGAGUAACACGUGGAUAACCUACCUAUAAGACUGGGAUAACUUCGGGAAACCGGAGCUAAUACCGGAUAAUAUAUUGAACCGCAUGGUUCAAUAGUGAAAGACGGUUUUGCUGUCACUUAUAGAUGGAUCCGCGCCGCAUUAGCUAGUUGGUAAGGUAACGGCUUACCAAGGCAACGAUGCGUAGCCGACCUGAGAGGGUGAUCGGCCCCACUGGAACUGAGACCCGGUCCAGCCUCCUACGGGAGGCAGCAGUGGGGAAUCUUCCGCAAUGGGCGAAAGCCUGACGGAGCAACGCCGCGUGAGUGAUGAAGGUUUUCGGUUCGUAAAACUCUUUUAUUAGGGAAGAAAAAAUGUGUAAGUAACUAUGCCCGUCUUGACGGUACCUAAUCAAAAAGCCCCGGCUAACUACGU
rnacentral:rRNA from 1 species